UACCGAGGGUGCAAGCGUUGUUCGGAAUUACUGGGCGUAAAGGGCGCGUAGGCGGCCUGUUAAGUCGAACGUGAAAUCCCCGGGCUCAACCCGGGAACUGCGUCCGAUACUGGCAGGCUUGAAUUCGGGAGAGGGAUGCGGAAUUCCAGGUGUAGCGGUGAAAUGCGUAGAUAUCUGGAGGAACACCGGUGGCGAAGGCGGCAUCCUGGACCGAGAUUGACGCUGAGGCGCGAAAGCCAGGGGAGCAAACGGG
rnacentral:rRNA from 1 species